CCUACGGGGGGCAGCAGUGGGGAAUCUUGCGCAAUGGGCGAAAGCCUGACGCAGCAACGCCGCGUGGGGGAUGAAGGCCUUCGGGUUGUAAACCCCUUUCAGUGGGAACGAAACUGACGGUACCCACAGAAGAAGCUCCGGCCAACUACGUGCCAGCAGCCGCGGUGAUACGUAGGGAGCGAGCGUUGUCCGGAUUCAUUGGGCGUAAAGAGCUCGUAGGCGGCUUGGUAAGUCGGGUGUGAAAUCUCCAGGCUCAACCUGGAGUCGCCACCCGAUACUGCCCUGGCUAGAGUCCGGUAGGGGACCACGGAAUUCCUGGUGUAGCGGUGAAAUGCGCAGAUAUCAGGAGGAACACCAGUGGCGAAGGCGGUGGUCUGGGCCGGUACUGACGCUGAGGAGCGAAAGCGUGGGGAGCGAACAGGAUUAGAUACCCUGGUAGUCCACGCUGUAAACGUUGGGCACUAGGUGUGGGGCCUUAUCGACGGGCUCCGUGCCGCAGCUAACGCAUUAAGUGCCCCGCCUGGGGAGUACGGCCGCAAGGCUAAAACUCAAAGGAAUUGACGGGGGCCCGCACAAGCGGCGGAGCAUGUGGCUUAAUUCGAUGCAACGCGAAGAACCUUACCUGGGCUUGACAUGCGGGUUAAGGCGCAGAGAUGCGCUGACCUUCGGGUCCCGCACAGGUGGUGCAUGGCUGUCGUCAGCUCGUGUCGUGAGAUGUUGGGUUAAGUCCCGCAACGAGCGCAACCCUUGUCCUAUGUUGCCAGCGGGUAAUGCCGGGGACUCGUAGGAGACUGCCGGGGUCAACUCGGAGGAAGGUGGGGAUGACGUCAAGUCAUCAUGCCCCUUACGUCCGGGGCUGCACACAUGCUACAAUGGCCGGUACAAAGGGCUGCUAUCCCGCGAGGGGGAGCGAAUCCCAAAAAACCGGUCUCAGUUCGGAUCGCAGUCUGCAACUCGACUGCGUGAAGUCGGAGUCGCUAGUAAUCCCGGAUCAGCACGCCGGGGUGAAUACGUUCCCGGGCCUUGUACACACCGCCCGUC
rnacentral:rRNA from 1 species